GAUGAACGCUAGCGGCAGGCCUAACACAUGCAAGUCGAACGAGCCUUCGGGCUAGUGGCGGACGGGUGAGUAACACGUGGGAACGUACCUUUAGGUUCGGAACAACUCAGGGAAACUUGAGCUAAUACCGGAUAAGCCCCCUCCUUUAAUCAGGGGGGGUGGGAAAGAUUUAUCGCCAUUGGAGCGGCCCGCGUAGGAUU
rnacentral:rRNA from 1 species